GAUGAACGCUGGCGGCGUGCCUAAUACAUGCAAGUAGAACGCUGAAGGAGGAGCUUGCUCUUCUGGAUGAGUUGCGAACGGGUGAGUAACGCGUAGGUAACCUGCCUGGUAGCGGGGGAUAACUAUUGGAAACGAUAGCUAAUACCGCAUGACAACAGUUAUUGCAUGAUAACUGUUUAAAAGGGGCAACUGCUCCACUACCAGAUGGACCUGCGUUGUAUUAGCUAGUUGGUGAGGUAACGGCUCACCAAGGCGACGAUACAUAGCCGACCUGAGAGGGUGAUCGGCAACACUGGGACUGAGACACGGCCCAGACUCCUACGGGAGGCAGCAGUAGGGAAUCUUCGGCAAUGGACGGAAGUCUGACCGAGCAACGCCGCGUGAGUGAAGAAGGUUUUCGGAUCGUAAAGCUCUGUUGUAAGAGAAGAACGAGUGUGAGAGUGGAAAGUUCACACUGUGACGGUAUCUUACCAGAAAGGGACGGCUAACUACGUG
rnacentral:rRNA from 1 species